GUGUUUUUUUCACUUCCAGUGUCACUUUUAUCUGUGGUCUUACUUUAUGUGGUGAAUCGUGCCCAAGGGGGGAACCUAAAUUAUUCUGCAAGACAAAGGGAAGAAAUAAAACUUUCUCAUGCUGAAUGAGAAGCUUAAAUGACUGUGUCAUGAGAAUGGGCUGCACACAUCAUUGGUUUGAAAACCUCACUUUUUUUUUUUAAAUUUUAAUCUAGAAUUUAGUCAGGAAAAAUAAUGGUCUGGAAAUAUAUAUUUAUAUUUCAAAAGCACCUAUUUCAAAGUAUAUUUGUGAGGACUAUUUUAGCUUGUGUCUUAUGUACUGUGUAUUGCUAAAGAAUUCUACUUUGGAGUAGGCUAAUCAGUGAAGUUUAGAAAGUUUCUCUGGAAUAUGCAGGUGAAUUUGAGUAAGGACAGUAAAUAAUGGAAAACUUGGAUCUUGUAUUGAGAUCCAAUUAAUUUUCAGAAGGUGUUUCUUAAGGAUAUCUUUGGCUUUUUUUUUUUAAUCUUAAAGCAAAAAAACUUUUGAAGGUGUAGAAGGGAUAUUUUAUACAGAAUAAACAAUGGCAUUUUAAUAGGCA